UACAGAGGUCUCAAGCGUUGUUCGGAAUUACUGGGCGUAAAGGGCUCGUAGGCGGCCAACUAAGUCAGACGUGAAAUCCCUCGGCUUAACCGGGGAACUGCGUCUGAUACUGGGAGGCUUGAAUCCGGGAGAGGAAUGUGGAAUUCCAGGUGUAGCGGUGAAAUGCGUAGAUAUCUGGAGGAACACCGGUGGCGAAGGCGGCAUUCUGGACCGGUAUUGACGCUGAGGCGCGAAAGCCAGGGGAGCAAACGGG
rnacentral:rRNA from 1 species